UUAAGCGAAUAAGCGUACACGGUGGAUGCCUAGGCAAUCAGAGGCGAUGAAGGACGUGCUAAUCUGCGAUAAGCGUCGGUAAGGUGAUAUGAACCGUUAUACCCGACGAUUUCCGAAUGGGGAAACCCAAUAUCCCAUGGAUAUUAUCCUGACAUGAAUACAUAGUGUUAGGAAGCGAACCGGGAGAACUGAAACAUCUCAGUACCCCGAGGAAAAGAAAUCAACCGAGAUUCCCCUAGUAGCGGCGAGCGAACGGGGAACAGCCCAGAGUCUUAAUCAAUAGCAGCAUCAGGAGAACGGUCUGGAAAGUCCGGCAGUAAAGGGUGAUAGCCCCGUAUCCGAAGAUGCUGUUAUUGUGAACUCGACGAGUAGGGCGGGACACGUGUUAUCCUGUCUGAAUAUGGGGGGACCAUCCUCCAAGGCUAAAUACUCCUGAUUGACCGAUAGUGAACCAGUACCGUGAGGGAAAGGCGAAAAGAACCCCGGCGAGGGGAGUGAAAAAGAACCUGAAACCGUGUACGUACAAGCAGUAGGAGCCUCUUUAUGGGGUGACUGCGUACCUUUUGUAUAAUGGGUCAGCGACUUAUAUUCUGUAGCAAGGUUAACCGUAUAGGGGAGCCGUAGGGAAACCGAGUCUUAACUGGGCGAAUGAGUUGCAGGGUAUAGACCCGAAACCCGGUGAUCUAUCCAUGGGCAGGUUGAAGGUUGGGUAACACUAACUGGAGGACCGAACCGACUAAUGUUGAAAAAUUAGCGGAUGACUUGUGGAUGGGGGUGAAAGGCCAAUCAAACCGGGAGAUAGCUGGUUCUCCCCGAAAGCUAUUUAGGUAGCGCCUCGUGAACUCAUCUUCGGGGGUAGAGCACUGUUUCGACUAGGGGGUCAUCCCGACUUACCAACUCGAUGCAAACUGCGAAUACCGAAGAAUGUUAUCACGGGAGACACACGGCGGGUGCUAACGUCCGUCGUGAAGAGGGAAACAACCCAGACCGCCAGCUAAGGUCCCAAAGUCAUGGUUAAGUGGGAAACGAAGUGGGAAGGCUCAGACAGCCAGGAUGUUGGCUUAGAAGCAGCCAUCAUUUAAAGAAAGCGUAAUAGCUCACUGGUCGAGUCGGCCCGCGCGGAAGAUGUAACGGGGCUAAACCAUGCACCGAAGCUGCGGCAGCAAUACUGUGUAUUGUUGGGUAGGGGAGCGUUCUGUAAGCCUGCGAAGGUGUACUGUGAGGUAUGCUGGAGGUAUCAGAAGUGCGAAUGCUGACAUAAGUAACGAUAAUGCGGGUGAAAAACCCGCACGCCGGAAGACCAAGGGUUCCUGUCCAACGUUAAUCGGGGCAGGGUGAGUCGACCCCUAAGGCGAGGCUGAAAAGCGUAGUCGAUGGGAAACGGGUUAAUAUUCCCGUACUGGUGGUAACUGCGAUGGGGGAACGGAGAAGGCUAGGUUGUCCGGGCGACGGUCGUCCCGGUUCAAGCAUGUAGGCAGAGUGAUUAGGCAAAUCCGGUCACUUAAUGCUGAGGUGUGAUGACGAGCCACUAAGGUGGUGAAGCAAUUGAUGCCCUGCUUCCAGGAAAAGCCUCUAAGCUUCAGGUUACCAACAAUCGUACCCCAAACCGACACAGGUGGUCAGGUAGAGAAUACUCAGGCGCUUGAGAGAACUCGGGUGAAGGAACUAGGCAAAAUGGUGCCGUAACUUCGGGAGAAGGCACGCUGGCGGUAAGUGAAGUCCCUUGCGGACGGAGCCGAAGCCAGUCGAAGAUACCAGCUGGCUGCAACUGUUUAUUAAAAACACAGCACUGUGCAAACACGAAAGUGGACGUAUACGGUGUGACGCCUGCCCGGUGCUGGAAGGUUAAUUGAUGGGGUUAUCCUUAGGGAGAAGCUCUUGAUCGAAGCCCCAGUAAACGGCGGCCGUAACUAUAACGGUCCUAAGGUAGCGAAAUUCCUUGUCGGGUAAGUUCCGACCUGCACGAAUGGCGUAAUGAUGGCCAGGCUGUCUCCACCCGAGACUCAGUGAAAUUGAACUCGCUGUGAAGAUGCAGUGUACCCGCGGCAAGACGGAAAGACCCCGUGAACCUUUACUAUAGCUUGACACUGAACAUUGAGCCUUGAUGUGUAGGAUAGGUGGGAGACUAUGAAGUGUGGACGCCAGUCUGCAUGGAGUCAACCUUGAAAUACCACCCUUUAACGUUUGAUGUUCUAACCUAGGCCCAUAAUCUGGGUCGGGGACCGUGUCUGGUGGGUAGUUUGACUGGGGCGGUCUCCUCCUAAAGAGUAACGGAGGAGCACGAAGGUUGGCUAAGCAUGGUCGGACAUCAUGCGGUUAGUGCAAAGGCAUAAGCCAGCUUGACUGUGAGAGUGACGGCUCGAGCAGGUACGAAAGUAGGUCUUAGUGAUCCGGUGGUUCUGAAUGGAAGGGCCAUCGCUCAACGGAUAAAAGGUACUCCGGGGAUAACAGGCUGAUACCGCCCAAGAGUUCAUAUCGACGGCGGUGUUUGGCACCUCGAUGUCGGCUCAUCACAUCCUGGGGCUGAAGUAGGUCCCAAGGGUAUGGCUGUUCGCCAUUUAAAGUGGUACGCGAGCUGGGUUUAGAACGUCGUGAGACAGUUCGGUCCCUAUCUGCCGUGGGCGUUGGAAGAUUGAGAGGGGUUGCUCCUAGUACGAGAGGACCGGAGUGAACGCACCACUGGUGUUCGGGUUGUCAUGCCAAUGGCAUUGCCCGGUAGCUAAGUGCGGAAGAGAUAACCGCUGAAAGCAUCUAAGCGGGAAACUUGCCUCAAGAUGAGUCUUCCCUGUCACCUUGAGUGACCUAAAGGAACGUUUAAGACUAAGACGUUGAUAGGCUGGGUGUGUAAGCGUAGCGAUACGUUGAGCUAACCAGUACUAAUGAACCGUGAGGCUUAACCUG
rnacentral:rRNA from 1 species